rnacentral:rRNA from 1 species
GNCAGUGUACUGGACAUGUCACCAUGGCAUGUCCGUGAAUGUAAAGUCCACUGGAAUGUGGCAGCGCUUCGGCGUUCUUUGGGUCAGAGAGGGUGAAAACCCCGUUUACAUUCAUUGUGGGGCGUGUCUGUUGUGUGGGCGUGUUGAAGAGUCGGAUUGUUUGGGAAUGCAAUCCAAAACGGGUGGUAAAUUCCAUCCAAGACUAAAUAUUAGCAAGAGACCGAUAGCGAACGAGUACCGUGAGGGA